UACCAUUGCAUCACAGCUAUUCAGAAACAUAGGAGUUGGACAGGUUUGUUUCAGUCCCAGCUCUUAAUAAUAAUCAGAUUACUGUGUCUCAACAGUGAAUAUUCCCUCCUCAGCCAGCAGCUGCGGUGUUACACAAGCCACUCUCAGCAGACUGGGAGCUGAAGAUAGAGUGCUGUGACAUUUUUAACAUGCUUUUUUUAUCUUCCAGAUACAGAUAGCGAAAAUUUGACAACAGCCUUUACCACCACAUAUAAAAGCAAUAAAGUGUCCCCAGAUGUGGCACUUGUUGAAUCACUUCCCACACAACCAGCAUCCACUACCGUUCAGGUGUUAACAACAGUUGCUCCCACAAGUUCAGACUCUGCAGUUAUUGCAGUUGUUGUUAUUCUCAUUCUGCUGACACUAGCUGCUUUGAGCUUUGUGCUCUGCCGGUAUCUGUACCACAACAGAGGGGACUACAGGACGACAGGGGAGCUGGCUCCAGGAGAGGACCCUGAUGAAGAGGACCAUAACAAGCCUGCGCCUGAAAAGAAGGAAUACUUUAUAUAAACCUGGUGGAAGACUUACAGCGAGUUAGUUGAGCUUAAGAAAAUGAUCUGUGGAAGUGUGAUAAGAAGGAAAACUAUUUCCUUGCAUGUGUGUUUUGAGAGAAACCCGUUACUGGCAGCACACUGUGCAGAGAAAAAAAAAGAGCCUUGUUGAAGAUAUUUUUCUUUAAAAAUGCAAGUGAAACCAAAGAAAAGAGUACCACUGUGAGGGUGAAUGUUGAUUGGCUGAAGGAGGUGAAAGCUGACGUUGUGCACAGGUUAGCAGAGCCAAGCACAAAAUAGUUACAUGAUCAGUAAAUGCAAAAAAGUCAAAUCAAAGGAGUGCCUUGAAUGUAAUAUUUAUCAUCCUCAUUUAAAUUUCUCUUUAUUUGCCAUUUCAGUUAGUUACCGUACUUUUCCCAAACUAACCAUGUUUAAGAUGAUUUCUGGUGCUAUUAUGGGCUGUUACUUUCAUAUUCAUUUGCUUUUAAGAAAUACUUUUUUUAUGCAAUUCUUUUAUUAUAAGCUGGUCAAAGAAAGUGGUUUUCUUUUAAUAGAACAGGACAGCUACACAAUUUUUCUUGUUCUUGGUUGUGUUUUGUAUACCUGAAAUGGUUGCUGGUUACUUCCUUAUUUAUUAUAAAUGUGGAAGUCAAUUAAA